UGGCUGAUAUGCAUAAAACCAUUAUUUCAUGAAACUGCAUGAAAAAUUGACUUAUCGCACAAUACCAGAACUAAAAAAAAUAAACCACCAAAAGUCCACAUAAGAGAUGUGAAUUAACAGAAUAGAGAAUAACGGACAAAGAAAAAAAGGAAUAAAGAAUAGUGAAAGAAAGAGAAAAAUAGAAAAGUGUAAUAAUGAAAAAAAGUGUAAGUUAUUAAAAAUAUAGCUAAUAAAAGAAGACAGAUGAAUAAGUAAACAAGACCCCCCUCCCCCACACCAACCCCGAGACGAUCCUUACUUCAACUGUUAUUUGAUACUGCCGAGUUGUUUUGAGACAAACACACGUAUAAGUAGUCAGCCUGUACCACGCAGAAAGCUUCUUGCAUCAGUUUUAUGAUUACCGAUCAUUACUCAAGGUUAAUAUUUUUACGGCGGCUCAUUUUAUUUUGGCUUAAAAAUAAACACAAUUGACAAGUUUCUUUCCCCUGCAUUCUUGAUCGCACAAGUAAAUAGCACGUUGGUCUCAAAUAAGACAUUGAUACAAUGCAACACUUGCCGUCAGUAUUUGAAAAUAUUGAUUAAGAAGCUGUGUGUAAAAGUGAAUGUUUAAAUGGAGGCUCAUGUAGAGGACCUGACUACUGCGCAUGUCCACAAAACUUUACAGGUCCUUUGUGUGAACUAGGUUGUCAGCAAGAUGAAAAGAAUAAAUAUGCAGUUAAAAGUCAAAAUGUGGAUAAGCUUCAAAGUUCAAGGUCCUACUUUUGCAGAUUUUCAUAUUUUGCAUGAAUGAAUUUAAAGUUUAUAUCAUGGACAGCAGUGAAAGAAAAAAAAAAUCUUUUCAAUUUUCCUGCUACAAAGGAUAAAUGUAAAGACAUCUUGUUUUCGAAGGAUUGAAAUGCAUCACCUAGAAUAAAUGAAGAAAACAUAGAAACAAGACCAGAAUACAUUCAAAGACAAUGUUGGAUCAGUUAUUAUUUUCAUCAAGCAGUCAAUGAUUUAGAGUUCUUUAAAAUACCAAACUAUCUUGAAACCACAAUAAUGUCAAUGUUCUUUGCUGAAUGACCAAAAAGUGGACUAUACAAACACACAGUGCUUGAUGAUAAGAAACUAUUAAUGUUUUGUGUGGAGGGAUAUUGUGAAAAAAAUACAUUUACUUAAAUAGCUACUAGUAUGUUUAGCCAAUAAUAGAGUUUUUCACUGAUUUCAAAUGGUAAAUAAUUGUGUUUCGAAAAAGUAUUCUAUAAUUCAUAAAUAAACAUAUAUUGAUACUUACAAUAUCUGCUUUGUU